ACUACCUCAGAUAUGUCUGGUCUUUCUCACUGUUUUACUGAUGUCUUUUUCCAGAUGGGACAAAACAACAGAGCAGACCACGGCUGCUUAGGCAGGAGAAAAGGACGACUCAACUAUUCCAAACAUCAGAGUCAGAGUUACCAGCCGCAGGGAAUCCUGCAUAGACGAAAAACAAUAAAUCCCAUUUUAGCAGGAUCAUGGGAUUAAUUGAGAGAGAGCAGUGAGGCGUUUUGGAAACCUCUGCUGACCAGACCUGAUGAAAUUAGCAGUUUCUGAAGAAAAUACAAUCACAAGGUAAAAAAAAAGAAAAAAAAAAAGAAGGAAUUGUUACUUUUCAGGUUUAGAAAUGUUUACGCCUCAUACAUCAGACUCAAGUGUAUAUAAUGACAUGCGUGUUAUCGGACGGACAACAGUCCCACCUGCUGGACAGAACAAGAGUCUACACUGAAUGAUUUAAACAAAGUGAACUUUAUUUCAUUAUAAUGAGAAGUGAACAUUGCUCUGCACUGAAACUGAGUGUCAUAUAAACUUUUUGAAGGUAAUCAAAAAUGGUCCCUCGGAACAACUUGUGUGCAAAAUAUAAUAAACCACUCUCGGUAUAAAAUUGGGAACAUGGACAAAGUUUUGCAAAAAAAGGCAUAGCUAGAAAAAGUAGAUUGCAGAAAUUUAAACGGCACGUUCCAUAAAAUCGUACUGAAUUAAAAAAAGUAUAAACGUCACAAAUCUUACCGAGAUAAUCACAGAUUGAGUUGGUCUUUCCAAUAAAGGCAUGGAGUGCUCUCAAUACUAAAAUCUAUAACAGUGAAGGAAAAAUAGAAAAUAACCAGAGUCAAGAUAACCUGAGUAAAGAACAAUCUCGAGGGAGUAAUGGCAGCGCAGUUACAGACAGCUGCAGACAUUUCCAAAUGAGCAACGAAAAACAACAUUUAGGCAACUUGUAAAGUGGCUUAAGGCAACAAAAUAUAUAUAUUUCCUACCCUAAAUGGCUUUCAAAUAAUUUUGAUGGUACACAAACCUAUUAUUCAUUAUAAUGAAUGCACCAAAACUACUUUAUUUAAUUCAGAUUUAAAAAAAGCAUUCUACCUUAAUUGGCUUCCAAAUUUAAAUGUGUAGUUGUCAUUAUUGAAAAACUCAAGCAGAGAAAUUUGAAGCUAAAGCUACGUUUCCUCACAGUGCAACAGCAAGAGAAGCUGUAGAACCAGUGUUGACAGACUUCACCCGGUUUUAGCUGAAGUCUCUGUCUGGGAGCACCAGCGGGGCCACCAG